GCCUGUAGACCCAGCUACUCUGGAGGCUGAGGUGGGAGGACUGCUUGAGCCCAGGAGAUCUGAGCUAUAGUGAGCUAUGCUGAUUGGGUGUCUGCACUAAGUUCAGCAUCAAUAUGGUGACGUCCCAGGAGCGGGGCACCACCAGGUUGCCUAAGGAGGGGUGAACUGGUCAGAAACAGAACAGGUCAAAACUCCCUUGCUGAUCAGUAGUGGGAUCAUGCCUGUGAAUAGCCACUGUACUCCAGCCUGGGCAACAUAGUGGGCCCAUCUCUC
ensembl:misc_RNA Metazoa_SRP Metazoan signal recognition particle RNA